AAACCGUUCAGGGGUAAACCUGUGAAACCCAAAAGAUCGAAUGAGGAGAUUCAUCGUCAGCGUAUUUAGUAUUAAUGCAGGCUAUGAUGUGAUAAUAGAAUCCUCGUGAUCACUAAAUUAUACUUGCUUGUAUUAUUUUUGCUGAGUAUGUCGGCGUGCACUUCUCCUCUAGUAGAACGUCGCAACCCGUUGGAUGUUUAUCUAUGGCUUGAUUGGUAGCCUUUGAUAUAUUUAUUAUAUUGAAGACCUUUUGGUGUCCUGAUAAACUGUCUGACGGUAUACAUANUAGUAUUGAGCCGCAAUGAUUUGCGUUAGAUUUGCUGCAAGUAAGGCUUUAUUCUGGUAGUGCGGAUUUAAUGCCGUCGCUGGNACAAAGUCUGCUGUUAGCUGUAAUGUCUUUAACUGGCUUAUUUACUGGUUAGCGAUGCUACUGCUUUGGGUACUUAC
rnacentral:rRNA from 1 species